rnacentral:rRNA from 1 species
GAUGAACGCUGGCGGCGUGCCUAAUACAUGCAAGUCGAGCGAACAGAUGAGGAGCUUGCUCCUCUGACGUUAGCGGCGGACGGGCGAGUAACACGUGGAUAACCUACCUAUAAGACUGGGAUAACUUCGGGAAACCGGAGCUAAUACCGGAUAAUAUAUUGAACCGCAUGGUUCAAUAGUGAAAGACGGUUUUGCUGUCACUUAUAGAUGGAUCCGCGCCGCAUUAGCUAGUUGGUGAGGUAACGGCUUACCAAGGCAACGAUGCGUAGCCGACCUGAGAGGGUGAUCGGCCACACUGGAACUGAGACACGGUCCAGACUCCUACGGGAGGCAGCAGUAGGGAAUCUUCCGCAAUGGGCGAAAGCCUGACGGAGCAACGCCGCGUGAGUGAUGAAGGUCUUCGGAUCGUAAAACUCUGUUAUUAGGGAAGAACAAAUGUGUAAGUAACUAUGCACGUCUUGACGGUACCUAAUCAGAAAGCCACGGCUAACUACGUG